rnacentral:rRNA from 1 species
GGGCCCGCACAAGCAGCGGAGCAUGUGGUUUAAUUCGACGCGACGCGAAGAACCUUACCUGGGCUUGACAUGUUUCUGACCGCCGUGGAAACACGGCUUCUCUUCGGAGCAGAAUCACAGGUGGUGCA